rnacentral:rRNA from 1 species
GCAGUAGCCGCGGUAAUACGAAGGGUGCAAGCGUUAAUCGGAAUUACUGGGCGUAAAGCGUGCGUAGGCGGUUUGUUAAGUCUGUUGUGAAAUCCCCGGGCUCAACCUGGGAAUGGCAAUGGAUACUGGCAAGCUAGAGUGUGUCAGAGGAUGGUGGAAUUCCCGGUGUAGCGGUGAAAUGCGUAGAGAUCGGGAGGAACAUCAGUGGCGAAGGCGGCCAUCUGGGACAACACUGACGCUGAGGCACGAAAGCGUGGGGAGCAAACAGGAUUAGAUACCCCCGUAGUCCCUGUCUCUUAUAC